GGAACCCACAGGCAAUUUUAUAGCUCGUCUUAUUACCUAAGUUUAUUGCAUCGUAACGGUUUAACGAUCAUCGCCUGUUUCCAUAGUCGAGACCACCGGUUUAUGCUUUGCCCGUAGCGGUAACCAUAACAAGACCAUAAAAGUCCCUGCCGCUGGCAUGAAACCCAUUCUGAAUUACAUUCUUACGGUCUACUGACAUUGACACUCUGGGUGUAACCAGCUGUAUCUGCCGAUGACUUUUAUGACCUUUUAAAAUUAUUUAAUGUUCAUUUAUUUAUUUGUUAUCGAUUCUAUUACCUGUCGUUAUCCGUAUUGACAAUUUCUCGCUUUUUUAAGCGCGUACGUUUUAGCUUGAAACAUUAUACAAAAUUGGAAGUUUUAUUUCAGUUUAAUUUGAACAAGUUAAAACGGUAUAACCCGGCAUCGGAGUUGGAGUACGGACUAGUGAAAUUUGACUAGCCGUGUGCACUCCAUGUAAUUGCGGGCCACUUAAACUCUGACCUCGCUUUUUUUUUAAGUGCCGGUGUUUUAGUGUAAGUGAUCCAAAAUACCUGGGAUAAUGAACUCGUACUUUGAGCAGACCGCGGGUGGCUUCUACGGAAGCCACCAUCAUCAAACAGGGGCGACAAGUCAGCAUCAUGAUCCAGCCACCGCAGCAGCAUAUCGAAGCUUUCCACUCGGAUUAGGUAUGUCGCCGUAUGCUUCAGCGCAACAUCACCAUCACACGUCAUCCUCGUUAGGAAUACAUCCAGGUGGUGGAAGUAAUACAAGACCACCUCAAGACUCGCCAUAUGAUGCGAGCGUUGCGACGGCCUGCAAGCUUUAUUCAACGACACCUGAGGCAACCGGUCACACUACAUCCUCAUAUUCAACAACGGCAACGAAAGACUGCAAGCAACAGGAUCAAACGUCGACCCAUCAAAACGGCUAUGCUGCGGUGAUGGCAGCGGCGGCGGUCAAGGACGUUUGGCAGUCAGCGACCUCGGGAGCGAAUAGCCAGAGUAAUUCGGUCGUACGUCCUUCCGCCUGUACCCCAGAGAGUACAAGGGUCAGCAGCUACGGUGGCCUCGUAGGCGGCGAUCCAGCAUCGAGUCCUGGUAACAACAGUUCGUCAAGAUCCCUCACGUCAUCUUGGAACACCUGCAGUUUAAACUCGUCCGCGAGUCAACCGGUCGCCACGCAACUGCAUCAGCAACCUACCAAUCAUACCUUCUACCCCUGGAUGGCUAUAGCAGGGGCGAACGGAAUGCGCAGGCGCGGCCGACAGACCUACACGCGCUACCAGACUCUGGAACUGGAGAAGGAAUUCCACACGAACCACUAUCUUACCAGGCGGAGGCGGAUCGAGAUGGCACACGCGCUAUGCCUGACGGAACGGCAAAUCAAGAUCUGGUUCCAGAAUCGGCGAAUGAAGUUGAAGAAGGAGAUUCAGGCGAUCAAGGAGCUAAACGAGCAGGAGAAACAAGCGCAGGCGCAAAAGGCAGCGGCAGCAGCGGCGGCGGUUGCGCAUCAGCAGCAAGGAGGCGGUGGGGGGCCAGAGGGGGGCAACUAGGGGUACGCCCUGCAUCGGAGCCCCCCUGAUCACCCCACCGCCAAUCCACACCACCCUCUACUAGCACCGCAAUGUACACAGCUGUAUUAAAGGUGAGUGGCAGGCUGCACCCGCUGUCUCUGCAAUGCCAAAUAGAUGGUCGAUGUGCGUAUCUGUCGAUCGUCAAUUUAUCGGUUGCGGCGAAUCGGAUGCUGCACCGAAUUGGCGCCAAGGAAUUCUGGACUCUCAUCAUUUAUGAAUCAUCACCCAUUGGCAGUACCAGAGAACUUAUGGAGUUAAACAAAAUGCAAUUUAUAAAUUAAUUAAUAUUCGUUAUAGAUUGUAAAAUUAAUAUAUUUAUAUAUUGUCGA
rnacentral:misc_RNA from 1 species